rnacentral:rRNA from 1 species
GACGAACGCUGGCGGCGUGCUUAACACAUGCAAGUCGAACGGAAAGGCCCUGCUUUUGUGGGGUGCUCGAGUGGCGAACGGGUGAGUAACACGUGAGUAACCUGCCCUUGACUUUGGGAUAACUUCAGGAAACUGGGGCUAAUACCGGAUAGGAGCUCCUGCUGCAUGGUGGGGGUUGGAAAGUUUCGGCGGUUGGGGAUGGACUCGCGGCUUAUCAGCUUGUUGGUGGGGUAGUGGCUUACCAAGGCUUUGACGGGUAGCCGGCCUGAGAGGGUGACCGGCCACACUGGGACUGAGAUACGGCCCAGACUCCUACGGGAGGCAGCAGUGGGGAAUAUUGCACAAUGGGCGGAAGCCUGAUGCAGCAACGCCGCGUGCGGGAUGACGGCCUUCGGGUUGUAAACCGCUUUCGCCUGUGACGAAGCGUGAGUGGCGGUAAUGGGUAAAGAAGCACCGGCUAACUACGUG